CUAGUACUCCCUCCGUCCCAAAAUUCUUGUCUUGAAUUCGUCUACAUACGGAUGUAUCUAUUCACAUUUUAGUGAAUAGAUACAUCCGUAUGUAGACGAAUUCAAGACAAGAAUUUUGGGACGGAGGGAGUACUUU
rfam:Triticum aestivum genome assembly, contig: Triticum_aestivum_CS42_TGACv1_scaffold_640771_T_1BS-0.252289_4BS-0.127625